AUUUCUUUGGGUUAACUUAAACUCAGCCCUUCUAGGCCCAUUCUUCUCACUCAGGAAUUGGAGAAGUUUUUCUGAGGGAUUUGGAAUGGGAUGGCAGGGAGAGUCACCAGACACCGUGAA
ensembl:miRNA